ACAGUGUGAACGGCCAACACAGACUCCAGGUGGUGGAUCAGCAUUAAUCAUAACAGACCCAGGGGCAGAGGAUUGGCAAGAUACCACAAGAAAUGGUUGUACAUCCAUCCCCUUGAACUCCAUUUCCUCCACAGAGAACAGGAAUAUGGAGGUUUUCUCUGCGUGGUUUCAUGAAGGAUAAUUUUUGGAGGAAAGUUGCGCAGGAGGGGAAAGAAUUUAAAAGCAAGACAGAUCACCACAAAGUGAAAUUUAUCUAUCACUGUGAACCCCAAGCUUGACAGUUGAUUAUGACAUAGGUAUCAGCGCAGAGG